UACGGGAGGAGCGAGCAUUAUUCGGAAUGAUUAGGCGUAAAGGGUGCGUAGGCGGGUCUUUAAGUCAGGGGUGAAAUCCUGGAGCUCAACUCCAGAACUGCCUUUGAUACUGAAGAUCUUGAGUUCGGGAGAGGUGAGUGGAACUGCGAGUGUAGAGGUGAAAUUCGUAGAUAUUCGCAAGAACACCAGUGGCGAAGGCGGCUCACUGGCCCGAUACUGACGCUGAGGCACGAAAGCGUGGGGAGCAAACAGG
rnacentral:rRNA from 1 species